rnacentral:rRNA from 1 species
CUCGUAGGCGGCCAUCUAAGUCGGACGUGAAAUCCCUCGGCUUAACCGGGGAACUGCGUCCGAUACUGGAGGGCUUGAGUGUGGGAGAGGGAUGCGGAAUUCCAGGUGUAGCGGUGAAAUGCGUAGAUAUCUGGAGGAACACCGGUGGCGAAGGCGGCAUCCUGGACCAUGACUGACGCUGAGGAGCGAAAGCCAGGGGAGCAAACG